rnacentral:lncRNA from 1 species
UUCUUCCUACACCUCUAUAUAUUUUUUUAAAUACCAAAUAUACUCUCCUUUUUUUAAAUGAAUAUUGGAUUGGCUAAUCUAAAACCUCAAAGUGGGUCCAGUAUUGUGUAUUGGAUUGUACAAUCUGAUUUGUAAAUUUAAAACACAAAUUGGACAUAUCCGGUUUGAGAUUUUGGAUUGGUCAAUCCAAUAUUCAUUUCAAAAGAAGUAUAUUGUCGAUUGAAACAGGGUCUACGAUUUAUAUGAAGAAAGAGGAGGUGCAUAAUAUUAAGCAGAUGCUAGUGUCUAGUUCUAGUAGUAGCAGUAAGAAGAAGAAGUCUUGUGCUUUGGAAUUUGAGGAGCUAAAGAAGCAUUUUGAUAUUCCCAUUAAUAAAGUUGUGUUUCAAAUGAAUG